rnacentral:rRNA from 1 species
UAGAGUUUGAUCCUGGCUCAGAUUGAACGCUGGCGGCAUGCUUUACACAUGCAAGUCGAACGGCAGCGCGGGCUUCGGCCUGGCGGCGAGUGGCGAACGGGUGAGUAAUAUAUCGGAACGUACCCAAGAGUGGGGGAUAACGUAGCGAAAGUUACGCUAAUACCGCAUACGAUCCAAGGAUGAAAGCAGGGGACCGCAAGGCCUUGUGCUCCUGGAGCGGCCGAUAUCUGAUUAGCUAGUUGGUGAGGUAAAGGCUCACCAAGGCAACGAUCAGUAGCUGGUCUGAGAGGACGACCAGCCACACUGGAACUGAGACACGGUCCAGACUCCUACGGGAGGCAGCAGUGGGGAAUUUUGGACAAUGGGGGCAACCCUGAUCCAGCAAUGCCGCGUGAGUGAAGAAGGCCUUCGGGUUGUAAAGCUCUUUUGUCAGGGAAGAAAAGGGAGUGGCUAAUAUCCAUUCCUGCUGACGGUACCUGAAGAAUAAGCACCGGCUAACUACGUGCCAGCAGCCGCGGUAAUACGUAGGGUGCAAGCGUUAAUCGGAAUUACUGGGCGUAAAGCGUGCGCAGGCGGUUUCGUAAGUCUGUCGUGAAAUCCCCGGGCUUAACCUGGGAAUGGCGAUGGAGACUGCGAGGCUAGAGUUUGGCAGAGGGGGGUAGAAUUCCACGUGUAGCAGUGAAAUGCGU